CGAAAGCAGGUUCCAGCAGAAGUGUGCUCGCAGCACCUCUGGGACAUCUGGAGAGAGGAACUAAAACUGAGCGUUCUGGUCCUGAGAUAAUUCAUUGGUUCAUGGCUGAUAUGACUGUAACUGUAACAGGCAGGGGAAGUGACUCAGGCUGUGGUGGUUGCCGUGGCGCUAAGUUUCCAAUUAAGCGUCACACCGGAGAUCCCCGUGUCUCAGGAGAGAGAUUCAGUGUGACUCUUUUAAAAGAUGGUUCCAUCAUGCCUUGGAAUGAGUACACCACUCCUCAACAAGGUGAAGAGAGGAAGAUGGAAGUGUUGUCUCUGUUGCUGAUGUCCAUUUAAAACCAAAGGAUUUCCACGACCAAUGUGAUGUGCUGGUUUCUCUGUUUGUUGAUGUUGUGUCUAUCUGCUGUUUGUCUGCUGCGUGUUUUUGUUUUUUAUAAAUUCCCAAACCCUUUUACAAGAGGCCUUUUGUCUGUUGACAAACUUUAUAAUUCAAAAAUGUAUAUACAUUUUAGUCAAUAAAAAAGUGUUAUUCCCUUUUUUCAUAAAACCAAGGGCUGUGUCAGUAUUCUGUAAGCAAUCCAAUGGGAGGCCUGUGAAUUUGGGCAGUGUGAUUUGGAACUGUAUAGUACAUAAUAAGACUCUAUUGAGCUCUUAUAACCUUAUUAAAUAGCUAACAUGGAAAGCAUUUUUGAAAAUUAAGUCACAUGAUAAAAUGAAUGUGACAUGUCUUUAAGGGUGAUUGCAAGACCUUAAAAAGUCUGAAAUUGUCUUAAAUUUAUUUUUGUUCAUAAAAUUGUCUAAUACAUCAUGACAGUUGAAUAUAUCAUAGUGCAUUUAUCUGUGGUUACAAUGUGUUUGUAUUUGAAUGGUAAAAGCCUGCAAUGUGUCCUUUUCUUGGACCAAAAUAAACAUUUGGACAAAUGUCAAUGUUGUCGUUUUAGAUAAUUGUAAAAAUGUCAAGUAGCUAAAAGCACAACUUGCCUGUGCUUACUUGUGUGGCAAACUGUCUUAAAUGUUAUUCUAAGAAGCAUUUAAAAUGUCUAAAAAGCCUUAAAUUUAACUUGCUAAUGCAUGCAGACAUCCUACUUUAAUAUGUGGGGGAUCCUAACUGAAAUGUAGUUCACCGCUUGAAAAAGACAAAAAUACUCAACACUGUUAUAAUGUUGAAAUCAUUGGUCUAUGGUUAUUACGGUCCUGAAACUACAACAAUGCAAGACAAUGUAUAUUUUAUUGACAAGCAGUUUUGGGUGUUUUAAUUUAGUUCUUGUGCACUUCAAUCUGUUGACAUAUCAAGAAAUUGUAAUGAUGGUAAUGCCAUCAUUUUAUCAGAAAAAUACUAGGGAGGAUGUAGUCAUGAUAUUCUGUCAAUAUGCUGCAGUUGAUGCUUAUGAUGGUGGUGGAAGUGAUUAUGGUGAUGAGGAGGUACUGUAUAUUAUACUAGCACAUAUGCUUUGGGGGACCUGCUAUGGACAUUGCACUAGUGCAAGUCACCCUUUUUAUGUUGUUUUUGUACUAGUUUUGUAUGUUUGUCUCAUCUUCUGUACCAUAAUUAUGCUUGCUGCAGAACAUAUUGCCUACCUAGAAAUGUAACUUGAACCUGAUCUCAAUGGUAUUCUAUACAAUGACAAAAAAGGCUUUCUAUUCUA